AAAUUGAAGAGUUUGAUCAUGGCUCAGAUUGAACGCUGGCGGCAGGCCUAACACAUGCAAGUCGAACGGUAGCACAGAGAGCUUGCUCUCGGGUGACGAGUGGCGGACGGGUGAGUAAUGUCUGGGAAACUGCCCGAUGGAGGGGGAUAACUACUGGAAACGGUAGCUAAUACCGCAUAACGUCGCAAGACCAAAGUGGGGGACCUUCGGGCCUCACACCAUCGGAUGUGCCCAGAUGGGAUUAGCUAGUAGGUGGGGUAACGGCUCACCUAGGCGACGAUCCCUAGCUGGUCUGAGAGGAUGACCAGCCACACUGGAACUGAGACACGGUCCAGACUCCUACGGGAGGCAGCAGUGGGGAAUAUUGCACAAUGGGCGCAAGCCUGAUGCAGCCAUGC
rnacentral:rRNA from 2 species